rnacentral:rRNA from 1 species
CCUACGGGAGGCAGCAGUGAGGAAUAUUGGUCAAUGGGCGAGAGCCUGAACCAGCCAAGUCGCGUGAGGGAGUACUGCCCUAUGGGUUGUAAACCUCUUUUGUCGGGGAGCAAAAGCCGGACGUGUCCGGCUGUGAGAGUAUCCGAAGAAAAUGCAUCGGCUAACUCCGUGCCAGCAGCCGCGGUAAUACGGAGGAUGCGAGCGUUAUCCGGAUUUAUUGGGUUUAAAGGGUGCGCAGGCGGAUUUUUAAGACAGCGGUAAAAUCGUGGGGCUCAACCCCAUCCAGCCGUUGAAACUGGGGAUCUAGAGUGUGCGAGAGGUAUGCGGAAUGCGUGGUGUAGCGGUGAAAUGCAUAGAUAUCACGCAGAACCCCGAUUGCGAAGGCAGCAUACCGGUGCACAACUGACGCUCAGGCACGAAAGCGUGGGUAUCGAACAGGAUUAGAUACCCGGGUAGUC